GACGAACGCUGGCGGCGUGCUUAACACAUGCAAGUCGAACGGAAAGGCCCUGCUUUUGUGGGUUGCUCGAGUGGCGAACGGGUGAGUAACACGUGAGUAACCUGCCCUUGACUUUGGGAUAACUUCAGGAAACUGGGGCUAAUACCGGAUAGGAGCUCCUGCUGCAUGGUGGGGGUUGGAAAGUUUCGGCGGUUGGGGAUGGACUCGCGGCUUAUCGGCUUGUUGGUGGGGUAGUGGCUUACCAAGGCUUUGACGGGUAGCCGGCCUGAGAGGGUGACCGGCCACAUUGGGACUGAGAUACGGCCCAGACUCCUACGGGAGGCAGCAGUGGGGAAUAUUGCACAAUGGGCGGAAGCCUGAUGCAGCAACGCCGCGUGCGGGAUGACGGCCUUCGGGUUGUAAACCGCUUUCGCCUGUGACGAAGCGUGAGUGACGGUAAUGGGUAAAGAAGCACCGGCUAACUACGUG
rnacentral:rRNA from 1 species